GAAAGAGCACUGCUUUCUUUCUUACUUUGAUGCAUACUUUGGCAUUUUGAGAAAUUCAGCCAUCGCACAUAGUUUGCCAAGAAUGUUGAAAAUUUGACACUACAGCCGGUAGUUGCUUAGCUUAGCAUUACAGCUGAAAAUGGAGAGAAAUAGCAAGGCUUGCAUAGGAGUAACAGCAUGUGCCCAAAGGUACCUCUAAAUCUCAAGUACCUACCUGUAAAAUUUGAUUAUAAAAACAUUAGAUUACAUGCAGGACUAUAUGCCAUCGCUUCACCAUGUAUCUUUAAGCUAAAGGCUAAGUUUAUUGCUAGCUGUAGCCAGCAUCAACAUUAGGUUCUGGGAGUCCAGGCUUACCUAGUAAAGUCGCUGUGUCCCCUCAGCUGAAUUCCACAAUUAUACUUCAACUGCUCAACUAAUUCAUCCAAUUUGGUAAUGAAAAACGCAUUUGUGGUAACCAGGAUGACUAAGGAGGACACUGAACCCACAGGCCUAUGGAGGUCAGGUCAGGUCAGGUCCCGAAACUAAAUUGAGAUCAUUUCAGCUUGUGCAGCUAGUUUUAGCUAGCAUGCGCCUAGUCAAAUAUUGCAAAAACACACGAAAACGUGUUGAGAAUACUGUACGCUCACAGUCAGCUUUCCUACUGUGUGGUGAUUUUACUUAUCCACUUUGGCACCAAGAGAAAAUGCCUACUACUAUGCAUAUAUCCUUCCAAAUAUGUAUAGGGUGUUUGGGAAGUGAUUUGAGCCGAAAGCCCCCUGCUGGGAGGAGGCAAAGUUGACAACCAUCCAGUUGUCAUGGUCUGCUAUUGAUCCACGUUGGCUGUAUCCUUCCACAGACAAACUAGUGUGCAAUCUAGUGAAUUUCUCAACAUGUGGAACAGUUCUUCUAUUUAGCCUCCCAACUUUGUGGUCAAGCUGGCAGAAAAAGAUGCAGAUUGAAGUGCUCAUGCUGGCUUCAUACUAAAAAAUUUAUUUCUUAUUGAUUCGUGCCAUCGUGGAAAUAGCACAAAGACAUGCAGUUCAUUCAAUAACUGCUGGGAAUCUGUUUUCAGUUACCCACGACUGCUCACUGAAAAUAAUGCAAACCUGUACACAGUUAGCAAACAUAUCCAAACCUUGUUUUUCUAUCUGUCUGCAUCAAAGAACAGCACAGAAUAAGUUGGACUGAUUCUCCACUAUUAGCUAAAAAGUUGCUGACCAAAGUUUGGAAUGCAGUCAUGACUGCAGGAAAUUUAUUGACAGACGCCCUCUUAGUAGUCGCAUGCUGAGUCAGACCUCUUACGUUUAGUCAGGAUCUAAACAUAGCAUUUAAAAACACAGCUCACAGUACAGUAAAGAUAUAUAUUUAUAUAUCUAUAUUUUACUCUUGGAUGUAUCUUCUGAAGAGUGUAAAGUGUCCGUUCCUGUCUUUUCAGUUUUCCCAUUCAGAUUCCCCCAUUCCCAGUUUAUAAAAAGUGUGAAAAGCAGAUCGUAAUGUAUUUUUCAUGUCUUUGUAAUGCUGUUGACAUCUAUUACCUGCAUAUCUGCUGAAUGAGGACUAACAGCAGUGGAGUUCUUGAUUCAUCAGCUACAGCUCAACAGCUGAACUCCAUUCACUCCAAAACAGGUUUUCUCAAUUGUGAGAAAACUACAUGGAGCAGAUUUUUGUCAAACUUACGACGGAAUAUAAAGAGUUUCAAAAUUAGAAUCAGGUCCCAAUAGUGAACAAGUAAAGUAAUAGAAACUGAUGUAUGAACAGGAAAAGAAAUUGGUCCGUGCAGUGCUGUUUUUCUACAGCAGCUGCAUUAUUCCCAUACUUGCUUCUUCUGUUUGCCAUCAGGAGAUACUUUCCAUUGCCACACGAACGGGGCCAACUUUUAGCAUGCUCACAUAUGGGAGUGCAGGAAUCAUCUGGAAGAACAAUCUUACCUAUUCAGAGUUUGGUGCAGGGGAUCUCCAGCAGAGCUGCACCGUUGGCCUGCGUUGCUAAACAUUUUUCUGCAGUUGCUCACCAAAGAGCAAAAAAAAUAAUCUAACACAUACCCCACUGAUACAUCAUCAUUCCCUGAGCUGACUCCUUGAAAAUGACUUCUGAUGAAAGGCUGGAUCUGCCCUGCAUCCUCUGCAAGCUGCUGUGUGGCAAAUCAUUUCUAUUAGCUUUCAAUUUUUAUGAUUUUUUUUUUUCUUUACCGUAUUUACAGAUGUAUCUUAGCUCGGGUCUUUUUAGAUCUCAAGAAAUACACACCAUUCCAGCCAUCUACAGCCUUCUAUAGGGCAAGUACUGGGAGAAAAACAUCACAUUGAGAAGAAUGCAUAAAGGGAAGGAGGGCAUGCAAAAAUAUGUGUGCUUGAAUUGAUGAGAAAUACAGCCAGAGAUGAGCCUUUUUAUAAAGAAAACAGUCAGUCGCUCUGGUACUGCUGCUCCACCCUACACAUUAUUAUUAUGGAAAUAUCAGAAAGUCUAGCAGUAAUACAAACAGCCUGAAAAAGGCCAUUUCUCCAAGCUGAGCAUCUUGAGAAUGCUGCAGUGGAUGGGUGAAAGCUGAUGGUCUACUGAGCAACCAAAUUGUAUUCAAAGAAAAGGACUGUGAGUCUUGAUUGAAAGGUUGACCCACAAAGACGGGAUAUAGCCAGUAUUUUCUGGCAGCACAGAAAACCACCGAGCACCUGCCAAUGGGCAGUAUCCAUUUUUCUACAUCAGAGUGGAAGAUACUUUAUUAAGUCAUUUUGUCUCCAUGUGGAAUCAGCAUUACUCUGCUCUCCCUAGUUUUCAGUGAGCUUUCUAGUCAGGGAAGGAACCACACGAUGCUAUGCAGCUCUCUAACAAACAGUGACAACUCUCUGAUUUAUGCCACCUCGCAAAGAUUUUGUGGACACUGCUUGAAUUAAAAAUGACUUUGGACAUUUGGAUUUUGUUUCUGGAAAUUAACAGAAUUUCUUUUUUUCUUUUUUUCUUUUUGGCAGAAGGAGGAAACUUGUCAGACUUUUUUUGGCUCAAGAUUUGGACAAGAAGGUGUUGCUUUGCCAAAUGUUCCCCUUUUCCCAGAUUGUCCACUCAGUGUCUCACAUACCUUGAACUUUGGAGAUUUUUCUUUAGUGAAAAUGUUCAAAUGCCAAAUUUUUCCAUCUUCUUUUACUACUUCAAGCCAGCUUCCCUCUCGCCCUACAUAUGCACACGUAUACACAUGCAUACAGGAGUCACAACAAAACUGAGAAGCUUUACAGUUACCCGUGUUGUGCAUCACAAAAAUGAGUUUUCUAACUAAUUGUGCCUCUUUGUGUGGGUUUGGUGUCAUAGGAAAAAUCUGUCCAGAAUGUUUUAUUAUUGUUAUUAUUAUUAUUAUUAUUAUUAUUAUAAUACAUCAUAUCAAAGGAACUAAUUUGUUAGUUGCAAUUUGUUAUAUGCAAGCUGUAUUGUUUGAUGCCAUGCGCAUACAUCUUAUAUACACUGCAGAGGUGUUUCCAGAGAAUACUGAAACAUUCAAACCUGCUAGCUCCGAUGCUAAGACGUGCAGUGGCGAUAAGCUAGCUAGAGAUUGAGGAUGCGCUUUGUGCCCAUCAGUGUCCUUUCCAUAAACUCAAUGACUCAGAGUGUACAUGUGCGACAGUGUGAAAGAGAGUUAUGUGUAUACUUUAAAAAGCUGUAUAACGUGUCCUUGGAGAAUCCAGCCUAUAGUAGUGCUACCAUCUCAGUUUGUUCAGAGUGUGAUGUAAAGUGUUUGGGGUUUUUUUUACUGCCUACUAUCUUAAGAUCGACACUUUGGGAGAAAAACAACAGAUGCUAACUUAAGUAAAAUGAUCUGAGUUCAUGAAACGUGGUGACAGUUUCAAUCAAAACUUUCUCAUUUUACUGUUUUUUCUUUCGGUUGUUUUUUUUACUUCUGCUGCUGCCUUUAAAAAUUCGAGCAUCCUACAAAUCUAUUUAUUGUAUCGAACAGCUGGGUAUGUUCAGUAUCUAUUCAGAAGGUUCUGUAUAUAAUUUAUUGCAUUUUCUGUAUGUUUAGUUGGAAACAUUUCAAUGCAUUUUCUGUGCUAAACAGUUGAGUUAAGUGCUAUAUGAAUGUUAAUGUUGAGAACAGUCACUGGUGAUGUUCCUAUGGGCCAAUUCUUUGUCCUUUUUCCCAUUUUUUUUCAAAGUUUUGCAAAAAUUUUCAAACUGUAUAUACUGUAUUGUGUUGAAAUAAAUAUGCAGUGAAACGGUAUUAUUUGUUGUUGCUCUAGGAUACAAUCAGUUUCCUUUCAGAUUAGCUAAACUGCCCUAAAUCUGGCCAAUUUAUUAGGUACCUAAUCAGCCAAUCAUGUAGCAGCAACUCUACUUCUGCUACUACUCCUCUGGGUAUU
ensembl:lncRNA